rnacentral:rRNA from 1 species
AUUGAACGCUGGCGGCAUGCUUUACACAUGCAAGUCGAACGGUAACAGGCCGCAAGGUGCUGACGAGUGGCGAACGGGUGAGUAAUGCAUCGGAACGUGCCCAGUCGUGGGGGAUAACUACUCGAAAGAGUAGCUAAUACCGCAUACGAUCUAUGGAUGAACGCGGGGGACCGUAAGGCCUCGCGCGAUUGGAGCGGCCGAUGUCAGAUUAGGUAGUUGGUGGGGUAAAGGCUCACCAAGCCAACGAUCUGUAGCUGGUCUGAGAGGACGACCAGCCACACUGGGACUGAGACACGGCCCAGACUCCUACGGGAGGCAGCAGUGGGGAAUUUUGGACAAUGGGCGCAAGCCUGAUCCAGCAAUGCCGCGUGCAGGAAGAAGGCCUUCGGGUUGUAAACUGCUUUUGUACGGAACGAAACGGCUCUGGUUAAUACCCGGGGCUAAUGACGGUACCGGAAGAAUAAGCACCGGCUAACUACGUG